GGUUAGAGGUUUUCAUGGAAAUGUUGGGAGGCUAACAUUUAUGUUGUGGGUAGCGAGAUAUAGAGAUAGAAAUGAGACAACUAGCAUAGCAAUGAUAGUAGUGGUAUCUAGGGAAAUGAGCAUCUUGUGUGUGAUCCGCUUGGAAGAAGAACGAAUCCGUGAAGUAGACGAACCAACAUGGUCGAACGAAUCCUCACACUCCGACACACUUGCGCAACUCUAUUGAGAAGAAGCAAUCCGGAAACAACAUUGAACACAC
rnacentral:lncRNA from 1 species